UACGUAGGGUGCAAGCGUUGUCCGGAAUUACUGGGCGUAAAGAGCUCGUAGGUGGUUUGUCGCGUUGUUCGUGAAAACUCACAGCUCAACUGUGGGCGUGCGGGCGAUACGGGCAGACUUGAGUACUGCAGGGGAGACUGGAAUUCCUGGUGUAGCGGUGGAAUGCGCAGAUAUCAGGAGGAACACCGAUGGCGAAGGCAGGUCUCUGGGCAUUAACUGACGCUGAGGAGCGAAAGCAUGGGGAGCGAACAGG
rnacentral:rRNA from 1 species